CCAACGCCACCCCCGGCGGUUCAAGUUUCUGCGCCCCGAGGACGCAGCCGUGGCCAAUCCCUGAGCUGCAGGGCGCUUUUAAAAUGCAGCACAAGGAUCAGACCGUGUUUUUCUUUUGGUGACUGAGUAAUGUCACUCUGCACCACGUCUUCCAAAUCCACCCCACCCUGAUGUGCUUCACAGUUUCGUCAUCAGUCUGCAACAAUACGCGGCGGCAUUCCGUGGCGGGUAUGUACCAGCAAGGUGACACAGGAGUUAUGAGUCGGGCCGAGAAACCACCAGCCGUCCCUCGGGAGGAGGAGGAGCCUUUCUACUCCCAUCACUAUCCUUUGUCCUCAAUAUCCGCUGAAAUGCAGUGCAGAGAAUCACGUACACCGAGACCUCUGUGUUCAAUUGCUCGUUGUGUGUCCACUGAAAACAGCUUCACUUUGUGCAGCUUCUACGCACCCAUUCCUGUAAAAUCCUUCUGAGACAGCACACUUUUCAGUUUUAGUUAGCUUCUCUUGUUUUGUUUUUUUUCAAAAGGGGGAUUCUGCUUUCCCUGCUUGGGAAGGAACAUCAGAGUUAUCAGAGACUCUCACUUCCUAGCUAUAAAGUGAACACGUGGCUGUAAGAUGUCAUAUAGGAAACAAGUAGUGUAUUUUAUUUUAUUAUGUCAUAUGCCGAUCUGCUUUAUCAUGGAAAGAUUAAAGGCUUCAAUCAGGA